rnacentral:lncRNA from 1 species
CGCCUUUCCUCUCUGGCCAGUUGACCAGCUGGCCCUGUAUCCUCAUCCCAAACUCUCUCUGAGCUGAUACCCGAAGAGCCAGGCAUCAGAGGCUGAGCAGGUGGACAUUCUGGGCUCUGCCUCCUGCCUACACCACCAUAGCCAGUGCCAGCACGGCCUCCAGCAUUCCCAGGCCUGCGCACUCCUGCUCGUGCCUGUAGAUUUAUGCUGGGAGAAGACACCCUUGCCCCCUCUCCCUCCUCCUCUGCACGCAGCGCUCUCCUCUGCCCAUCCCCACUUCUCUGUCUCGUCUCCGUGUCUGGUCAGGAACCUGUCUGCAAGUGAAGCAAUAUCUUCGUGUUUUGUAUAUACAACUGCUCUUGUAGCCUUUGGUUUUUGUUAUUGUAGAGAACAGAUUCUUUAUACACUUUGUAAAAUUUA